rnacentral:misc_RNA from 1 species
CAGAGUUGCAAAACUCCCACAAACCAUCGCGAAUCUUACCCGUACGGUUGCUUCGGCGCUGGCGGUCCGGAAGGCCCUCGGGCCCCCCGGAUCCUCGGGUCUCCCGCUCGCGGGAGGCUGCCCGCCGGAAUACCGAAACUAAACUCUUGAUGUUUUAUGUCUCUCUGAGUAAACUUUUAAAUAAGUCA